ACGUAGGACACGAGCGUUAUCCGGAGUUACUGGGCGUAAAGGGCGUGCAGGCGGCAUGGUAAGUCUGAUGUGAAAGCUCCCGGCUCAACCGGGAGAGGACAUUGGAGACUGCCAAGCUCGAGGCAGAUAGAGGGAUGUAGAAUUCCGGGUGUAGUGGUGAAAUGCGUAGAGAUCCGGAGGAAUACCAGAGGCGAAGGCGGCAUCCUGGGUCUGACCUGACGCUGAGACGCGACAGCAUGGGGAGCGAACGGG
rnacentral:rRNA from 1 species